AUUGAACGCUGGCGGCAUGCCUUACACAUGCAAGUCGAACGGCAGCACGGGAGCAAUCCUGGUGGCGAGUGGCGAACGGGUGAGUAAUAUAUCGGAACGUGCCCAGUCGUGGGGAUAACGUAGCGAAAGCUACGCUAAUACCGCAUACGAUCUAUGGAUGAAAGCGGGGGAUCGCAAGACCUCGCGCGAUUGGAGCGGCCGAUAUCAGAUUAGGUAGUUGGUGAGGUAAAGGCUCACCAAGCCGACGAUCUGUAGCUGGUCUGAGAGGACGACCAGCCACACUGGGACUGAGACACGGCCCAGACUCCUACGGGAGGCAGCAGUGGGGGAAUUUUGGACAAUGGGCGCAAGCCUGAUCCAGCAAUGCCGCGUGCAGGAUGAAGGCCU
rnacentral:rRNA from 1 species